AAGUAGGCAAUGAUGUUCAAAAACUACCUAUUUGCUGAAAGGAGAUUUUAUUCUCCUUCUGUGAUUAAAAAAUUUAACCAAUGGAUCCUUCUGAGCCUACU
rnacentral:snoRNA from 1 species